UUUGGCAGAGGCUUCCCUCUCUUGUGCCUCUCUCUCUCUCUCUCUCUCUCUCUUUCUUCCAUUGUUGCUCAAGCUUUGAGUUUAGAGUGGGAGUCUUUAGAGUGAGAUUUUGUAAAAGUGUUGUAAAUGAAAGUCGGAGAGCUCGUUGUGAUCUUCGCAAUGGUGGUCUUGGAUUCAUAAUCGGGUGAUGUUUACAUUUUCGGAUUAGUUUUUCUUCAUAUUUGAGGAAAAGAUGUGGUGUUCCCACCCAACUAGGUGCGUGGAAGUAUAUGUGUUGGGAGUACAACACUCUCAUUUUGUUGUGACUCUGUGUGUAAGCCAAGGGCUGUGUUUGUGUGAGUUUGAAUAACUAUUUUGUGUAACCAGGCUCUAACCUUGGAAACUUGUAAACCCUUGGGGGUAUUUAUUUGUUUAUUUACUUGUUGCUGGAUUAAUGUAUUAUUGCAUGAACAACUAUUGUAUCAUAUAAUGUAAGUUUGGAGAUUUAUAUUCAGUUUUUCUUAAAA